AGGGUUUGAUCCUGGCUCAGGACGAACGCUGGCGGCGUGCCUAACACAUGCAAGUCGAGCGGAAAUAAAUUUUGAUUUAUCAUUAUUUAUUUUAGCGGCGGACGGGUGAGUAACGCGUGGGUAACCUGCCUUUUACUGGGGAAUAACACCGGGAAACCGGUGCUAAUACCGCAUAAUGCUAUACUGUGGCAUCACAGGACAGCCAAAGGAGUAAUCCGGUAGAAGAUGGACCCGCGUCCGAUUAGCUAGCUGGUGAGGUAAUGGCUCACCAGGGCGACGAUCGGUAGCCGAACUGAGAGGUUGAUCGGCCACAUUGGGACUGAGACACGGCCCAAACUCCUACGGGAGGCAGCAGUGGGGAAUAUUGCGCAAUGGGGGGAACCCUGACGCAGCAACGCCGCGUGAAGGAUGAAGGUUUUCGGAUUGUAAACUUCUUUGAUUGGGGACGAAAAAAAUGACGGUACCCAAAAAACAAGCCACGGCUAACUACGUGCCAGCAGCCGCGGUAAUACGUAGGUGGCGAGCGUUGUCCGGAAUUACUGGGUGUAAAGGGCGUGUAGGCGGGAGAGUAAGUCAGAUGUGAAAUUCCCAGGCUUAACCUGGGCACUGCAUCUGAAACUAUUCUUCUUGAGUGAUGGAGAGGAAAGUGGAAUUCCUGGUGUAGCGGUGAAAUGCGUAGAUAUCAGGAGGAACACCAGUGGCGAAGGCGGCUUUCUGGACAUUAACUGACGCUGAGGCGCGAAAGCGUGGGGAGCGAACAGGAUUAGAUACCCUGGUAGUCCACGCUGUAAACGAUGGAUACUAGGUGUAGGAGGUAUCGACCCCUUCUGUGCCGGAGUUAACACAAUAAGUAUCCCACCUGGGGAGUACGGCCGCAAGGUUGAAACUCAAAGGAAUUGACGGGGGCCCGCACAAGCAGUGGAGUAUGUGGUUUAAUUCGAAGCAACGCGAAGAAUCUUACCAGGGCUUGACAUCCCCUGAAGUUAGUGGAAACAUUAACGUCCUUCGGGACAGGGUGACAGGUGGUGCAUGGUUGUCGUCAGCUCGUGUCGUGAGAUGUUGGGUUAAGUCCCGCAACGAGCGCAACCCUUGUCGUUAGUUGCCAGCAUGUAAUGAUGGGAACUCUAGCGAGACUGCCGGCGAUAAGUCGGAGGAAGGUGGGGACGACGUCAAAUCAUCAUGCCCCUUAUGUCCUGGGCUACACACGUACUACAAUGGUCAAUACAGAGGGAUGCGAAACGGCAACGUGGAGCGAAUCCCCAAAAAUGACCUCAGUUCGGAUUGUGGGCUGAAACUCGCCCACAUGAAGUCGGAAUUGCUAGUAAUGGCAGGUCAGCAUACUGCCGUGAAUACGUUCCCGGGCCUUGUACACACCGCCCGUCACACCAUGAGAGUCGGAAACACCCGAAGUCAGUAGUCUAACCUUUAUUGGGGGGCGCUGCCGAAGGUGGGGUCGAUGAUUGGGGUGAAGUCGAAACAAGGUA
rnacentral:rRNA from 1 species